rnacentral:rRNA from 1 species
GAUGAACGCUGGCGGCGUGCUUAAUACAUGCAAGUCGAACGGAAAGACCCUGCUUUUGUUCGGUGCUCGAUUGGCGAACGGGGGAGUAACACGUGAGGAUCCUGUCCUUGUCUUUGUGGUAACUUCAGGGAAAUGGGGCUCUAAUCGGGUAUGAGCUCCUGCAGCGUGUGGGUGGUUGGUAAAUUUCGGCGGUUGGGGAUGGACUCGCUGGUUAUCAGCUUGUUGGUGGGGUAGGGGCUUACCAAGGCUUUGACGGGUAGCCGGCCUGAGAGGGUGACCGGCCACAUUGGGACUGAGAUACGGCCCAGACUCCUACGGGAGGCAGCAGUGGGGAAUAUUGCACAAUGGGCGGAAGCCUGAUGCAGCAACGCCGCGUGCGGGAUGACGGCCUUCGGGUUGUAAACCGCUUUCGCCUGUGACGAAGCGUGAGUGACGGUAAUGGGUAAAGAAGCACCGGCUAACUACGUG